rnacentral:lncRNA from 13 species
UUCUGAUAACCCUGUCUGUAAUGGUGUGGGUGGAACCUGUGACUGGCUUUUAUUCAAUAGAACAUGGCAAAAUUGAUGGAUGUCCCUCCCCCAAUUAGAUUACUUCAUCUGGCAAAUGCCACUCCUGUGAUUGUAUCUCACUCUAUGACACUGUCCUUCCAGACUAGAGAGAAACCCUCCUGCUGGCCCUGAAGGAGCAGGCUGCUGUCUGCCAUGCGAACUGCUGGGGAGGGGGUCGCAUGACAGGAAAGUGGAUGGUCCCUGGCCAACAGCCAGCAGUAGAACGGACCUUGGUGCUACAGUUGCAAGAAGAUGAAUCCUGCCCGUGACCAGAGGCUGUGUUUUGAGCCUCCUAUGACGCUGCAGCCCUGCUCACACCAGCACUGCUGCCCAGUCGGCCCCUAGAGCAGACAGCCCAGCUAAGCUGUGCCUCCUGCUGGAAAUGAUAUUUGGAAUUUGGAAACAACAAUACAUGUGUUUCCUGCCUCUAAGUUUAAGGUAAGUGGCAUGGUUAAACAAGACAUCAAUGAUGGACUGGAUAAAGAAAAUGUGGCACAUAUAUACUAUGGAAUACUAUGCAGCCAUAAAAAAGGGUAGCAUGACUGUGUUUGUUAGAGGACUCGCAGCUGCCUGGCCUCCCACUCCCUUGCAUGGCUGCCCUGCAUUCAUCGCUCCGUUUUCAGGACUUUCAUCCCUGCCUGUAACCUGCCCUGGCCUUUGGUCUCUUCCGGGAGGUAGGGCUAUAGGGUGCUUUAUGGCAGCUCAGUAAAAUAAGCAGCUUAAGAAUAAAUGUGGAAAGAUGGACA